GAAAUGCGAUAAGUAAUGUGAAUUGCAGAAUUCAGUGAAUCAUCGAAUCUUUGAACGCACCUUGCGCUCCUUGGUAUUCCUUGGAGCAUGCCUGUUUGAGUAUCAUGAAAUCUUCAAAGUAAAUCUUUUGUUAACUCAAUUGGUUUCUACUUUGGUAUUGGAGGUCUUUGCAGCUUCACACCUGCUCCUCUUUGUUCAUUAGCUGGAUCUCAGUGUUAUGCUUGGUUCCACUCGGCGUGAUAAGUUAUCUAUGGCUGAGGACACUGUAGAAGGUGGCCAAGGUAAAUGCAGAUGAACCGCUUCUAAUAGUCCAUUGACUUGGACAAUACUUUUAUGAUCUGAUCUCAAAUCAGGUAGGACUACCCGCUGAACUUAAGC
rnacentral:misc_RNA from 1 species